UGGGUGAUCUGCCCUGCACUUCGGGUUAAGCCUGGGAAACUGGGUCUAAUACCGGAUAUACCUCAUUGAUCUCUUGGUUGGUGGGGAAAGCUUUUGCGGUGUGGGAUGGGCCGCGGCCUAUCAGCUUGUUGGUGAGGUUACGGCUCACCAAGGCGUCGACGGGUAGCUGGCCUGAGAGGGUGACCGGCCACAUUGGAACUGAGACACGGUCCAGACUCCUACGGGAGGCAG
rnacentral:rRNA from 1 species